GGGGGCAUAGCUCAGGGGCAGAGCAUUUGACUGCAGAUCAAGAGGUCCCCGGUUCAAAUCCGGGUGUCCCCU
rnacentral:tRNA from 1 species